rnacentral:rRNA from 1 species
AUUGAACGCUGGCGGCAGGCCUAACACAUGCAAGUCGAGCGGAUGAAGGGAGCUUGCUCCUGGAUUCAGCGGCGGACGGGUGAGUAAUGCCUAGGAAUCUGCCUGGUAGUGGGGGAUAACGUCCGGAAACGGGCGCUAAUACCGCAUACGUCCUGAGGGAGAAAGUGGGGGAUCUUCGGACCUCACGCUAUCAGAUGAGCCUAGGUCGGAUUAGCUAGUUGGUGGGGUAAAGGCCUACCAAGGCGACGAUCCGUAACUGGUCUGAGAGGAUGAUCAGUCACACUGGAACUGAGACACGGUCCAGAAUCCUACGGGAGGCAGCAGUGGGGAAUAUUGGACAAUGGGCGAAAGCCUGAUCCAGCCAUGCCGCGUGUGUGAAGAAGGUCUUCGGAUUGUAAAGAACUUUAAGUUGGGAGGAAGGGCAGUAAGUUAAUACCUUGCUGUUUUGACGUUACCAACAGAAUAAGCACCGGCUAACUUCGUG